rnacentral:rRNA from 1 species
CAUUACCCAAUAUGAAGGCGGGCUGGAAACCCCUAGCUGGGCACUGCUUCACGGCGUGCGCGGUUUAGGCCGGCUCUGCUGAAUUAUUUCACCCGUGUCUUUUGCGUACUACUUGUUUCCUGGGCAGGCUUGCCUGCCCUCAGGACCAACCAAUAAACCUUUUGUAAUAGCAAUCAGCGUCAGUAACAAUGUAAUCAAUUACAACUUUCAACAACGGAUCUCUUGGUUCUGGCAUCGAUGAAGAACGCAGCGAAAUGCGAUACGUAGUGUGAAUUGCAGAAUUCAGUGAAUCAUCGAAUCUUUGAACGCACAUUGCGCCCUUUGGUAUUCCAAAGGGCAUGCCUGUUCGAGCGUCAUUUGUACCCUCAAGCUUUGCUUGGUGUUGGGCGUCUUUUGUCUCCAGCUUGCUGGAGACUCGCCUUAAAGUCAUUGGCAGCCGGCCUACUGGUUUCGGAGCGCAGCACAAGUCGCGCUCUAGCCCAGCCAAGGUCAGCGUCCAGUAAGCCUUUUUUCAACCUUUGACCUCGGAUCAGGUAGGGAUACCCGCUGAACUUAAGCAUA